rnacentral:tRNA from 1 species
GGGGAUGUAGCUCAGUUGGGAGAGCAUCAGAAUGGCAUUCUGGGGGUCAGGGGUUCGAGCCCCCUCAUCUCCA